CGGUCCCUGAGUAACACUUACA
rnacentral:miRNA from 1 species